rnacentral:rRNA from 1 species
UACGUAGGGGGCAAGCGUUGUCCGGAAUUACUGGGCGUAAAGCGUGCGCAGGCGGUUUUGUAAGCCAGAUGUGAAAUCCCCGGGCUUAACCUGGGAAUGGCAUUUGGGACUGCAAGGCUGGAGUUUGGCAGAGGAGACUGGAAUUCCUGGUGUAGCAGUGAAAUGCGUAGAUAUCAGGAGGAACACCGAUGGCGAAGGCAGGUCUCUGGGCUGAAACUGACGCUCAUGCACGAAAGCGUGGGGAGCAAACAGG